rnacentral:tRNA from 1 species
AAAAUAUUUAAAUUAAAGCUUCUAACUUUAAAAUUAGAUUAAUUAUCUUAUAUUUUU